rnacentral:rRNA from 1 species
ACUCAAAGGAAUUGACGGGGACCCGCACAAGCAGUGGAGUAUGUGGUUUAAUUCGAAGCAACGCGAAGAACCUUACCAGGGCUUGACAUGGGGACGACAGGCAUAGAGAUAUGCCCUUCUUCGGACGUCCCACACAGGUGGUGCAUGGUUGUCGUCAGCUCGUGUCGUGAGAUGUUGGGUUAAGUCCCGCAACGAGCGCAACCCUUAUUGCUAGUUGCUACCAUUAAGUUGAGCACUCUAGCGAGACUGCCGGUGACAAAUCGGAGGAAGGUGGGGACGACGUCAAAUCAUCAUGCCCCUUAUGUCCUGGGCUACACACGUACUACAAUGGUCGUGACAACGGGCAGCUAAGCCGCGAGGUGGAGCAAAUCCCCAAACACGACCUCAGUUCAGAUUGCAGGCUGCAACUCGCCUGCAUGAAGUAGGAAUUGCUAGUAAUCGCGAAUCAGCAUGUCGCGGUGAAUACGUUCCCGGGUCUUGUACACACCGCCCGU